UUGUGAAGCAGAAUUCACCAAGCGUUGGAUUGUUCACCCACUAAUAGGAAACGUGAGCUGGGUUUAGACCGUCGUGAGACAGGUUAGUUUUACCCUACUGAUGAUCAGCACCGCAAUAGAA